ACGGGUGAGUAAAGCAUCGGAACUUGCCUUUGAGAGGGGGAUAACCCGGGGAAACUCGGGCUAAUACCGCAUAAAGUUGAGAGACCAAAGCGGGGGAUCGCAAGACCUCGCGCUCAAAGAGAGGCUGAUGUCGGAUUAGCUAGUUGGUAGGGUAAAGGCCUACCAAGGCGACGAUCCGUAGCUGGUCUGAGAGGACGAUCAGCCACACUGGGACUGAGACACGGCCCAGACUCCUACGGGAGGCAGCAGUGGGGAAUAUUGGACAAUGGGGGAAACCCUGAUCCAGCAAUGCCGCGUGUGUGAAGAAGGCCUGCGGGUUGUAAAGCACUUUAGGUGGGGAGGAAGUGUUGAGGCUGAAUAGGCUUCAAUGUUGACGUUACCCACAGAAUAAGCACCGGCUAACUCUGUGCCAGCAGCCGCGGUAAUACAGAGGGUGCAAGCGUUAAUCGGAAUUACUGGGCGUAAAGCGCAUGUAGGUGGUUGCAUAAGUUUGAUGUGAAAGCCCUGGGCUUAACCUGGGAAUGGCGUUGAAGACUGUGUGACUAGAGUCGGACAGAGGGUCGUGGAAUUUCC
rnacentral:rRNA from 1 species